rnacentral:piRNA from 1 species
AACUGACAACAAGAGAGGAGGAA